ACUCCAGGGUUCAAGUUCUCAGUCCUGGGUGCUUCUGGUGGAAUUGACCAGCCACUCUCGCUGCUUAUGAAGAUAAACCCUCUUGUCUUGGUGCUCCAUUUAUGUGGUGUUGUUAACACAUCUGGUGUUACAGAUCACAUUAGCUGCAUGAACACCGGUGUUGUGGUGUGUGGCUUCUUGGGCCCGCCACAAGUGGAAAAUGCUCUUGUUGGAAUGGAUCUCGUGAUCAUUCCUGCUGGCACCAUCGGAAACCUGGGGAUGGCAAGGGACCUAUUCAACAUCAAUGCUAGGAUCAUUAUGACUCUUUGUGAGGGAAUUGCAAAAUGCUGCCCAAAUGCGAUUGUGAAUGUGAUUAGUAACCCUAUAAAUUCUACCAUUCUGAUUGCUCCUGAAGUAUUUACCAAAGAUGGAACAUAUGAUCCUAGGCGUCUAUUGGGGUUGACAACACUUCAUGGAGUGAGAACCAAUACCUUCAUGGGAGAGCUUACUGGACUUUCAGCUCAACAUGAUGUCAAUAUUCCUGUUUUUAGUGGACACGCAGAAGUUGCGAUAUUACCACUCAUUCACAAGUUAUUACCACUUUCAGUUGCUGCAAAAUUUGAAAUGAGUUAUCUCACUUCUCGCAUACAUAAUGGUGGGACACAGUAG
rnacentral:rRNA from 1 species